AACGAACGCUGGCGGCAGGCCUAACACAUGCAAGUCGAGCGCGCCUUCGGGCGAGCGGCGGACGGGUUAGUAACGCGUGGGAACGUGCCCAGAUCUACGGAAUAGCCACUGGAAACGGUGAGUAAUACCGUAUACGCCCUUAGGGGGAAAGAUUUAUCGGAUUUGGAUCGGCCCGCGUUAGAUUAGGUAGUUGGUGGGGUAAUGGCCUACCAAGCCUACGAUCUAUAGCUGGUUUUAGAGGAUGAUCAGCAACACUGGGACUGAGACACGGCCCAGACUCCUACGGGAGGCAGCAGUGGGGAAUCUUAGACAAUGGGGGCAACCCUGAUCUAGCCAUGCCGCGUGAGUGAUGAAGGCCUUAGGGU
rnacentral:rRNA from 1 species